rnacentral:rRNA from 1 species
UUAGUACGGCGAGUGAAGCGGUAAAAGCUCAAAUUUGAAAUCUGGUACUUUCAGUGCCCGAGUUGUAAUUUGUAGAAUUUGUCUUUGAUUAGGUCCUUGUCUAUGUUCCUUGGAACAGGACGUCAUAGAGGGUGAGAAUCCCGUUUGGCGAGGAUACCUUUUCUCUGUAAGACUUUUUCGAAGAGUCGAGUUGUUUGGGAAUGCAGCUCAAAGUGGGUGGUAAAUUCCAUCUAAAGCUAAAUAUUGGCGAGAGACCGAUAGCGAACAAGUACAGUGAUGGAAAGAUGAAAAGAACUUUGAAAAGAGAGUGAAAAAGUACGUGAAAUUGUUGAAAGGGAAGGGCAUUUGAUCAGACAUGGUGUUUUUUGCAUGCACUCGCCUCUCGUGGGCUUGGGCCUCUCAAAAAUUUCACUGGGCCAACAUCAAUUCUGGCAGUAGGAUAAAUCAUUAAGAAUGUAGCUACCUCGGUAGUGUUAUAGCUUAUUGGAAUACUGCUAGCUGGGAUUGAGGACUGCGCUUCGGCAAGGAUGUUGGCAUAAUGGUUAAAUGCCGCCCGUCUUGAAACACGGACCA